rnacentral:rRNA from 1 species
GAAAUAAGAUUUUAAAUGAGUGCUAAGAGAAUGAUUAAACAAUUAAAAGCUUUCUUUAAUUAAAAAAUUAAAUUUAAUUUUUUAGUGCAAAAGCAAAAAUAAAAUUUAGGGACAAGAAGACCCUAUGAAUUUUUAUUGUUAAUAAUUAAAAUUUAAGUUAUUAAUAAUUUAAUUGGGGCGAUAAAAAAAGAAUAAGUAUCUUUUUAAUUAUAAAAUAAGUUCCGUUUUUAGCGAUUAAAUGAAAUAAAUACUCUAGGGAUAACAGCGGAAUAAUUUUGGAUAGUUCAUAUAGAUAAAAUAGUUUGCGACCUCGAUGUUGGAUUAGGAUUCUU